AGACCACUGAGGAGUCCUACAAUGGGACGAAAUGGCCAUCCGGUGC
rnacentral:hammerhead_ribozyme from 1 species